rnacentral:lncRNA from 1 species
AGCAGUAGAAGCCACAGCUGAGUCCUGUGCCUGAGCUAGAACCUGAUUCCACCACUCCUUCCAUCCUCCACCACCAGCCCUUACCUUCCUAACGCCAACUCUGGCCCAGUGACCAGAAGCCAAGGGCCAGAGGAAAGAGAAGCCCCAUUGCUCUUUAUAGGCAGUGUUUGCACCGGAGUAUCAAGCUCUGCUUCCACCCAUGAAAAGCGGGACUUACUCUCUCACCAUAAACAUCUGAAAAACUGGAUCAAAGAUAUGAAACAACUACUUCCAGACACUGGACAAGAAGCAGUAAUCUUAUAAGUAAGUAGGACUGUGGUCCCUAAGGGAAGGGAAACAAAUGAGGUGAGCCCUCAGUGGUGGAGGCAAUUUUCAGAUUGCUCAGCCCCCCGAUACAGCACCACUGCAAUUUUACAGAUUGUUUGGAAAACCCGAACAGAG